rnacentral:rRNA from 1 species
GAUGAACGCUGGCGGCGUGCCUAAUACAUGCAAGUCGAGCGAACGGACGAGAAGCUUGCUUCUCUGAUGUUAGCGGCGGACGGGUGAGUAACACGUGGAUAACCUACCUAUAAGACUGGGAUAACUUCGGGAAACCGGAGCUAAUACCGGAUGAUACUUUGAACCGCAUGGUUCAAAAGUGAAAGACGGUCUUGCUGUCACUUAUAGAUGGAUCCGCGCUGCAUUAGCUAGUUGGUAAGGUAACGGCUUACCAAGGCAACGAUGCAUAGCCGACCUGAGAGGGUGAUCGGCCACACUGGAACUGAGACACGGUCCAGACUCCUACGGGAGGCAGCAGUAGGGAAUCUUCCGCAAUGGGCGAAAGCCUGACGGAGCAACGCCGCGUGAGUGAUGAAGGUCUUCGGAUCGUAAAACUCUGUUAUUAGGGAAGAACAUAUGUGUAAGUAACUGUGCACAUCUUGACGGUACCUAAUCAGAAAGCCACGGCUAACCACGUG